rnacentral:rRNA from 1 species
UACGGGGGGGGCAAGCGUUGUUCGGAAUUAUUGGGUUUAAAGGGUGCGUAGGCGGGCUAUUAAGUCAGUGGUGAAAGCUCUCGGCCUAACCGAGAAAUUGCCAUUGAUACUGAUGGUCUUGAGUACAUUUGAGGCGGGCGGAAUGUGUCAUGUAGCGGUGAAAUGCUUAGAUAUGACACAGAACACCGAUAGCGGAGGCAGCUUGCUACACGAUCAUUGACACUGAGGCACGAAAGCGUGGGGAGCAAACAGG